UAGGGAAUCUUCCGCAAUGGGCGAAAGCCUGACGGAGCAACGCCGCGUGAGUGAUGAAGGUCUUCGGAUCGUAAAACUCUGUUAUUAGGGAAGAACAAAUGUGUAAGUAACUAUGCACGUCUUGACGGUACCUAAUCAGAAAGCCACGGCUAACUACGUGCCAGCAGCCGCGGUAAUACGUAGGUGGCAAGCGUUAUCCGGAAUUAUUGGGCGUAAAGCGCGCGUAGGCGGUUUUUUAAGUCUGAUGUGAAAGCCCACGGCUCAACCGUGGAGUGUCAUUGGAAACUGGAAGACUUGAGUGCAGAGGAGGAAAGUGGAAUUCCAUGUGUAGCGGUGAAAUGCGCAGAGUUAUGGAGGAACACCAGUGGCGAAGGCGACUUUCUGGUCUGUAACUGACGCUGAUGUGCGAAAGCGUGGGGAUCAAACAGG
rnacentral:rRNA from 1 species